rnacentral:rRNA from 1 species
UACGGGGGGGGCAAGCGUUGUUCGGAAUUACUGGGCGUAAAGCGCACGUAGGCGGCGCAGCAAGUUAGAUGUGAAAUGCCUGGGCUUAACCUAGGAACUGCAUUUAAGACUGCUGUGCUAGAGACCGGGAGAGGGUGGCGGAAUUCCCAGUGUAGAGGUGAAAUUCGUAGAUAUUGGGAAGAACACCGGUUGCGAAGGCGGCCACCUGGACCGGCACUGACGCUGAGGUGCGAAAGCGUGGGGAGCAAACAGG